CAAACGGCCCUUUUCAGGGCCACCCCAUUUCUAAAAAUACAAAUAAU
rfam:Solenopsis invicta Si_gnG.contig14281, whole genome shotgun sequence.